UGGAAUAUCAAUAAUAAGCACACAUGAACUCGAGCAUGGUGAAAAGAAGUAGUUUAUAGAAUACACUGAUCUCAGUGAACCAGUGCCACACAACAGGGCAUACUCUCAGCAGGGACAUUGGGAAUUUGGAAUGAAUAUCUCAUCCUUCAGUAGAGGCUGUAGAGAAUAUAUAGUAGCGAACAAAUAGGUGCAUUUGUACAAUCCGAUAUAUCAAGUUUUCUAGUGUGCCGAGACUUUAUUUUUGUGUAUGCCCUUCCAUUAGCGCUUGGCUGAUAUGCUUUCUUGAUGUACGGACUUUGAUCACCUGUUGUCCAAUCCACUGUUUAACCAGAUUAAUGCUGCAAAACCAAUCCUUGAGGUGUUUGAAGAUGUGAAAACCAUUUUUCAGUCCUAUGGCCCAAAGGCCGCAUAGAUGCGCUCAUGCAAAAAUAUGUGAUUCAUUAAAACGGUGACCCCAGAAGUACCGAAGGAAAAGGCUGGAGCUCACGGCGCGCUACCCUGCCAGCAUGCCACUAGAUAGUCGUUCAUCAUCUGAUUUAUAAGUAUUUCUGAUCUUUAUUAGUGAGUAGAGGGGAACUGGAGCACAUAUCAGUUCACCUGUGUGCCCACCUCGCUGCCGCAACGAACCAUCCCAUUCGUUACUAUCGUCAAGUUAUGUAGUCUUUGUUAUGGACAUGGUUAAUGAUAUCUUGUCAGGAAAAAAGAUUGCAAUUAAUCAUUCGGCCACAUCA